rnacentral:lncRNA from 1 species
AUUUAUUUUUGUGAUGACACUAGGUUCACUCUUUUCUAUCUUCUUUUUUGUCUGUUACAGGUUAUCUGGAUAUGGUUUCAGCUGAUAAUCCAAAUGCAACAUGUAAAUUUCAAAUUUCUAAGCUGUCUUCUACUGAAUAGAAAACGUGGUUGAUGUGAUGAUGUGAGUUCAACACCACUUAUCAUGCAAGCGGUCAAGAAUUUCGAUCUUCCAUAUUAUGUGGAUAAUACGUGGAAACUUAGGAUUGUUGAUACCCUUGUUUUUGUUCUACAUGAGUGUUUACAUCGUCAGCUUCAUCUUGGCUCAUUGAUUCAGGUUUUUUGCCAACUAAUAUCAAUGGCGCUGUUUUCUUAAAGAGAGCCUGGGGACUCUUUGGUACAGCUUUAACUUUAAUUAUGGAUCAGAGCCUGUGUGAUAAUGUUUGCUCCUUUUGGCACCCCAGUGGGAUCUCCUUCUGAACUUUACCUGGUUUGACUUUAAGUCCACUUGAGUUGCUAUAUAAUGUGUCGAAUUAUAAGUUACUUGGAUUGGAUUUCUUAUGAAAUAUUUUUUGCGCCAGAUGUUUUCAGUUUGCAAGCUGACAUCUUAUUAAAUGUAGAUGGGCUUGUGAAGAGGGCCUGGAAAGUACAUGAUUUUUGUUAGCAUGGGAUGCUUGGAUGAUUAUUAUUUUGAUUGCUUCGAUCAAUUUGCACUAAAGCAAUCCAUAGUGUAGUUUUGGACUCUAAAUUAUAUUUAAAAGGUCUUAUAUUUUGGAACGGAGGGAGUAAUUGACAUGCGAUGGUGUAGUUUUUGUGUAUUAUCAAUGUUCCAUUGUGUUACUUUUGAUCAUAUUGGUAAAAAGGAGAGCGUGUUAUUUGUAGAUUUUAGUGUGUAGCUUGACUUCUCUGGGAUAAGAAGGAACUAGAAGUGUUUCGCGCUUUGCUGCGCUGACUCUUCACUGACGCCUCUAUGGUGAGGUUUUCAUGGCAUCAUACAAAUGAAGUCUGGCUUGACAUGAAGCCGCAAUCUCAGAGCUAGAGAACUAUGAAAUGAUUCUUACCAACCUAACAAGUUCAGUAUCUGAAAUUGGCACCACCAUUCAACCCCCACCAAACACGUUGCAUGCCAUACAACAAAUAAGGAAUAGGCACAACAUAAUACGGUCUAGAUGGAACAAGCAAUAUUGAUAGAGCAAAACAUCAAAAUUACAAUGAUGCAAGGACGAAGCUGCUGCUCACUAAACAAGAUUUUAGAGGUCAAAAUUGAUGCUAGAUGCUAGUCUUACACAUGAAUAUUACAACCAUAUCCUCGCGAGUUGAAGAAUAAAGCAU